AUUGAACGCUGGCGGCAGGCCUAACACAUGCAAGUCGAGCGGAUGAAGGGAGCUUGCUCCUGGAUUCAGCGGCGGACGGGUGAGUAAUGCCUAGGAAUCUGCCUGGUAGUGGGGGAACGUCCGGAAACGGGCGCUAAUACCGCAUACGUCCUGAGGGAGAAAGUGGGGGAUCUUCGGACCUCACGCUAUCAGAUGAGCCUAGGUCGGAUUAGCUAGUUGGUGGGGUAAAGGCCUACCAAGGCGACGAUCCGUAACUGGUCUGAGAGGAUGAUCAGUCACACUGGAACUGAGACACGGUCCAGACUCCUACGGGAGGCAGCAGUGGGGAAUAUUGGACAAUGGGCGAAAGCCUGAUCCAGCCAUGCCGCGUGUGUGAAGAAGGUCUUCGGAUUGUAAAGCACUUUAAGUUGGGAGGAAGGGCAGUAAGUUGAUACCUUGCUGUUUUGACGUUACCAACAGAAUAAGCACCGGCUAACUUCGUG
rnacentral:rRNA from 1 species